rnacentral:rRNA from 1 species
AAUGAACGCUGGCGGCGCGCCUAAUACAUGCAAGUCGAGCGAGAAGACGUAGCAAUACGUUUGUAAAGCGGCGAACGGGUGAGGAAUACAUGGGUAACCUACCCUCGAGUGGGGAAUAACUAGCCGAAAGGUUAGCUAAUACCGCGUACGCUUCUUGGACUUCGGUUCAGGGAGGAAAGCGAUGCCGAGGGUAUCGCGCUCUUGGAUGGGCUCAUGUCCUAUCAGCUUGUUGGNGAGGUAACGGCUCACCAAGGCUUCGACGGGUAGCUGGUCUGAGAGGACGAUCAGCCACACUGGCACUGCGACACGGGCCAGACUCCUACGGGAGGCAGCAGUAAGGAAUAUUGCGCAAUGGGCGAAAGCCUGACGCAGCGACGCCGCGUGGGGGAUGAAGGUCUUCGGAUUGUAAACCCCUUUCGGGA